GAAGUAAAACCUGCUCACUGCAUUAAGUAAAGAGCCGCAGUAUACUGACUGUGCAAAGGUAGCAUAAUCAAUAGCGCCUUAAUUGGGUGCUGGUAUGAAAGGAUAAACAAGAGAAAAUCUGUCUCAAAAAUUAAUUUUGAAAUUAAAUUGUUAGUGAAAAUGCUGACAUAUGAGUGAUAGACGAGAAGACCCUAUAGAGCUUAGUUUAGUGAAAUAAACUUUGUUGGGGCAACAGUAAUUCUUUAAAUAUUUACCUAACUAAUCUCCAUUAAAGAAGAAAUUGACCCUUUUAUAAGAUCAAGAGAAAAGCUACCUUAGGGAUAACAGCAUAAUAAAAAGAAUAAAGUUCAUAUUUGUUCUUGUGUUUAUGACCUCGAUGUUGAAUUAAGGUUUCCUUAGAAAGUAGAAAUUCUACAGGUCAGUCUGUUCGACUGUUAAAAUCU
rnacentral:rRNA from 1 species